rnacentral:lncRNA from 1 species
UAAAAUUGAAUCUUCUACAAGAGUAGCUACCACCAAAUCACUGUCUAACAGUUCUGAUAUAUAGUCUACAUAAAUAGUAAAUGCAUAUGAUAAAUGAAUGUGUAGCACCUGAAUCAAUUAAAGAACGAGCAUUUCUACCAAGAAUAAGUAACGUGCCCAUAAUCACAUCUAGUGACUAAUUGGCAUCAUGUUGAGUCACUACAAGAACUCUCCAUUGAGCCUUGGGAUGUUCUAUUUGGCCUUUCUAUCUAGCACCACUGCUACCAGUUACAUCAGACUGAAUAGCACUAGUAGCACAUGCUUUACCCACCAACGUGUCUUGGUUCUGAUUCUGUCUAGAAAUAUUAACACUUGACUGUAAAGAUGUCCCCCUAUGAUGUACCACCUGCUGAAAACAAACUAGAC